GAUGAACGCUGGCGGCGUGCCUAACACAUGCAAGUCGAGCGAUCUUCUUCGGAAGAGAGCGGCGGACGGGUGAGUAACGCGUGGGUAACCUGCCCUGUACACACGGAUAACAUACCGAAAGGUAUGCUAAUACGAGAUAAUAUACUUUUAUCGCAUGGUAGAAGUAUCAAAGCUCCGGCGGUACAGGAUGGACCCGCGUCUGAUUAGCUAGUUGGUAAGGUAACGGCUUACCAAGGCAACGAUCAGUAGCCGACCUGAGAGGGUGAUCGGCCACAUUGGAACUGAGACACGGUCCAAACUCCUACGGGAGGCAGCAGUGGGGAAUAUUGCACAAUGGGCGAAAGCCUGAUGCAGCAACGCCGCGUGAGCGAUGAAGGCCUUCGGGUCGUAAAGCUCUGUCCUCAAGGAAGAUAAUGACGGUACUUGAGGAGGAAGCCCCAGCUAACUACGUGCCAGCCGCCGCAGUAA
rnacentral:rRNA from 1 species